CAAUGCUUGGCCAGUAUUACAAGGUUCUAACUCGGGUGAUGAGGGUGACAACAAAAAUGCUUUUCUGAAAGGUGUAUUUCCCUAUGGAGUCCUCAGUGACAAGCCUACCAGCAAUGUUUCCUGAGGAGCAGAGAAUAUGUUAUCUCCCCCGUUUCUUGGGAACAUGGAUCUUUCCUCCGUGACCUGGCAUUACUGCUGACUACAAUACAGGUAAUGCGCCUGUGCAAUUUUCUAACUGUGGGUCCAGUUUUCAGUCAGGAUGUUGACUCUCGUGUUUUC
rnacentral:lncRNA from 1 species